UUUAAAAUGUAAAAAUUUAUAUAUUUUUUGAUAGCAAUAUUCAGACAUUUGUUUAAGAAACAAUUUGGCUAGUCUAAAAGAGGGAAAUGUCGAGUAUUAAGGUUUUAAGAUGUUUUUUAAUUAUCACAGGAUGUUAUAAUUUUUUUAAAAAAUGUUCUGAAAUAAAUUAAAUAUACAAUCAUAAAAUGCUACUUAAGUGCAAUAUAAAAAUGAAAAUAUAGCUUUGAUACUAAAUAUUGCAAAGACUGAAUCUUUCAAUAAUCAUAAGUGUUUUGUAUUUUUCACUUGCUAUAAGUUGGUUUGUGUUGAUUUAUGUAUAACAACAGAAAAUGCAUUACUUCAAUAAAUGUUAGUUUUUUACCCAUUAGUUAUAUAAUCUCCUAUGAAAUGGUUUAUCUAAAUCUAAAGAUACAACUUUGCUUGCAUUUAAGGCGCUCCUUUUUCUUGUGAUAGCACCUCCACAGAAAGGCAAGAAGAGUCCAAGAAUGUAUCUUGAUGCAAUUUUGGCUUUAUUUUAUAGAGAAAUGGAUGUACACCUCAGUCUUGAAAGCUCCCUUGAGUUAUUGAAGAAGGAGAAAGUUUUUCUACCGAUUUUAUUCAAGAGUUGCGGCACUCUAUUUAAAAUUCUAAUUAUAACUCUAAUUAUAAGUCGAUAAUACAGCUAUACGGUUGGAAGCCAUACCGAGUAUUAGAUUUGCUUUUGAGUUGCUGCUAGUCUCUUAUUAUGUAUUUAAUGUCAAUUUUCCUCAUGAACUUAUUUGUGUAUAUGGAUUUAUAGGAAAUUUGCUUGGAAUAAACAGCAAAAAAAUUAUCGUCAAUUCCUUUUAAAAAAAGUAUUGCCAAAAGUUUAAGAUUAAAUUAAGCAAUAUGUUUGUGAAACGGAAAAGUAUUUUUAACACUUUCUUGUUUAUUUUUAUUAUAUCGUCAGCCGAGAACCAAGAGGCCGUAUGUCUUUUUUUUGUGUUUCCAAGAAAAUCAAGUUUUAAAUCUUAAUUCGCGAAGACUUUCUGCCAGAAAGUUCGACUGAUUAUUUAAAUAUUUCCUAAAAUUUUAUUGUUGU